GGCGUCGUACGCCAGGCGGUACGCGCGGACCUUCGCGUGGUUCUCCUUCCGCCACCUGCGAUCGUACUCGCAGCGUCGCUC
rnacentral:tRNA from 1 species